rnacentral:rRNA from 1 species
UACGAAGGGGGCGAGCGUUGUUCGGAUUUACUGGGCGUAAAGGGCGCGCAGGCGGUCAUUUUUGUCGAGUGUGAAAGCCCCGGGCUUAACCUGGGAACUGCGCUCGAAACGGGAUGACUAGAGAUCGGGAGAGGAGAGUGGAAUUCCCAGUGUAGAGGUGAAAUUCGUAGAUAUUGGGAAGAACACCAGAGGCGAAAGCGGCGACCUGGACAGGGACUGACACUCAACUACGAAAGCGUGGGGAGCAAACAGG